rnacentral:rRNA from 1 species
GGUCCUCGGAAGAGGAUCUAUGUUUUUUUCACAUCACACACCGUCGUAUGUCUAUAGAAUGUAUUGAAGACCGUCCGGGAUGGGACAGUCGGAUAAUGUUAUAAAUUAUACAACUUUCAGCAACGGAUCUCUUGGCUCUCGCAUCGAUGAAGAACGCAGCGAAUUGCGAUAAGUAAUGUGAAUUGCAGAUUUUCAGUGAAUCAUCGAAUCUUUGAACGCACCUUGCGCUCCUUGGUAUUCCGA